AAGCGACCACGUGAGUGUAAGCGAAUCCCAAAAAUAACGUCUCAGUUCGGAUUGUAGUCUGCAACUCGACUACAUGAAGCUGGAAUCGCUAGUAAUCGCGAAUCAGAAUGUCGCGGUGAAUACGUUCCCGGGUCUUGUACACACCGCCCGUCACACCAUGGGAGUCGGGAACGCCCGAAGUCGGUGACCCAACCGUAAGGGAGGGAGCCGCCGAAGGCGGGCCUGGUGACUGGGGUGAAGUCGUAACAAGGUACC
rnacentral:rRNA from 1 species